CCUACGGGAGGCAGCAGUGAGGAAUAUUGGUCAAUGGACGCGAGUCUGAACCAGCCAAGUAGCGUGAAGGAUGACUGCCCUAUGGGUUGUAAACUUCUUUUAUAUGGGAAUAAAAUGUUCCACGUGUGGGAUUUUGUAUGUACCAUAUGAAUAAGGAUCGGCUAACUCCGUUCCAGCCGCCGCGGUAAUACGGAGGAUCCGAGCGUUAUCCGGUUUUAUUGGGGUUAAAGGGAGCGUAGGUGGAUUGUUAAGUCAGUUGUGAAAGUUUGCGGCUCAACCGUAAAAUUGCCGUUGAAACUGGCAGUCUUGAGUACAGGAGAGGUGUGCGGAAUUCGUGGUGUAGCGGUGAAAUGCUUAGAUAUCACGAAGAACUCCGAUUGCGAAGGCAGCUCACUGGACUGCAACUGACACUGAGGCUCGAAAGUGUGGGUAUCAAACAGGAUUAGAUACCCCUGUAGUC
rnacentral:rRNA from 1 species